rnacentral:lncRNA from 1 species
GGUAUCCAGGUGUGAUAGUCUCUACCCAGCUGAUUGUAGUUGUGGUAUCCAGGUGUGAUCGUCUCUACCCAGCUGAUUGUAGUUGUGGUAUCCAGGUGUGAUCGUCUCUACCCAGUAACGGGAUGGAGGUCCAACCAGAGGAGACGGUCGUGGUACCGGAGGUUCUUCAGAGCUCAGCAGAGACACACGGAGAGGAACUGGAACUUAACGACGGUACCAGCACCGAGCACCGGGAGGACGGAUGCACAGCUGAGACAGAACCUCGGGGACUGACCUCCGUGACCUCAGACAGCCGUUUACCGGGAGAGUUAACGGGAGGAGCAGAGGAGAUGGAGGUUACGGAGAAUCUCGACUCUGUCUCGAGCUCCGAGCUGGGAGACGGAACCACACACACUAACCUCCUCCAGGACCCCCCCUGGACCCCCCCCAGGACGUCUCCCAGGACCCCUCCCAGGACCCCCCCCAGGACCCCCCCCAGG